rnacentral:snRNA from 1 species
ACUCAUACCCGGCAGGGGAGAUACCAUGAUCGUGAAAGUGGUAUCUCAUCCAUUGCACUUCAGGCAUCCGUAAGUGGUAUCUCAUCCAUUGCACUUCGGGUGUGAUGAUCCCUGUGAUUUCCCCAAAUGUGGGAAAAUCAACUGCCUAAUUUGUGGUAGUGGGGUACUGCGUUUGUGGAUUCCCCUG